rnacentral:piRNA from 1 species
UGCUCAUAACCCUGGUACUCUCAGGCAA